rnacentral:rRNA from 1 species
AAGCGGUCGUCGUCUCGCAUUGGAUUGAGACAAUCGUACAACUCUUAUCGAUAAGCCAUUGGAGGGCAAGUCUGGUGCCAGCAGCCGCGGUAAUUCCAGCUCCAAUAGCGUAUAUUAACGUUGUUGCAGUUAAAAAGCUCGUAGUUGAAGUGUGGGUGAGCGCUGUUGUGAGACUUCGGUCUCUCGACAGUAAGUCACCCCCUUCCAGUAUCCGUAAGGGGGUAUUCAGUUACUUACUAUUGUGUGUUGGUCCUUUACUGUGAAAAAAUUAAAGUGUUCAAAGCAGGCUUUUGCUUGAAUAAAUAACCAGGGAAAAAUAAUUGAAGGCUUUCGUGUUCAAUUUGAUUGGUUUGUUCAUGGAAGCAAGGUUAAAAGGAACAGUUGGGGGUAUUCAUAUUCACUAUUUAAAGGUGAAAUUCUCGGAUUUAUGGAAAAUGAACAAGUGCGAAAGCAUUUACCAAGGAGGUUUUCAUUAAUCAAAAACAAAAGCUAGGGGAUCGAAAAGAAUUAAAUACCCCGUAAUUCUUAAAA